rnacentral:rRNA from 1 species
GACGAACGCUGGCGGCGUGCUUAACACAUGCAAGUCGAACGGAAAGGCCCUGCUUUUGUGGGGUGCUCGAGUGGCGAACGGGUGAGUAACACGUGAGUAACCUGCCCUUGACUUUGGGAUAACUUCAGGAAACUGGGGCUAAUACCGGAUAGGAGCUCCUGCUGCAUGGUGGGGGUUGGAAAGUUUCGGCGGUUGGGGAUGGACUCGCGGCUUAUCAGCUUGUUGGUGGGGUAGGGGCUUACCAAGGCUUUGACGGGUAGCCGGCCUGAGAGGGUGACCGGCCACAUUGGGACUGAGAUACGGCCCAGACUCCUACGGGAGGCAGCAGUGGGGAAUAUUGCACAAUGGGCCGAAGCCUGAUGCAGCAACGCCGCGUGCGGGAUGACGGCCUUCGGGUUGUAAACCGCUUUCGCCUGUGACGAAGCGUGAGUGACGGUAAUGGGUAAAGAAGCACCGGCUAACUACGUG